CCCCUGUACGACUAAACAACGGUGACGCACCUGUGAUUGACAGCAUACGUGAGCCAUGUCAAUUGCUCUGCUCCCGUUUUCACCUCCGUGCCAGCCCGGCCCGCCCCCGUCCAUUCCUGUUCUUCGCUGACCGCCCCCGUCCCUCUCCUGUCAACUGUUGAUCCAGAUCCAGGGACCAAUGGCUGACUCCCUCCGAGCUUAUCAGGGCCCUCAGAUCCAAUAGCCCGUGUGUACGUUCCACACCGCCACGGUUCAUUUGGUAUUUCAACGACCGAAGCUAAAGGUGCCGCCUGAGACCGCGGUGAGCACAGCGGUCAUGACAGCGGUCGACCCCCGCAGGUCCUUCAUUCCUUACGCACACACACGACCUGGAGAUCAGGAGGCCAAGCCCGUUACCAUGGAGACCUCACGUUC